rnacentral:lncRNA from 1 species
UGCAGGGGAGUUGGACCAGAUGGCCUUAAAGGGUCCCUUCCAACUCAAACCAUUGUGUGAUUCUGUGUGAUUCUGAGUGGUGAGCGUGCCUGCAGCAACCAAGCAAGACACAGUCCUUCUGAAAGAGACAUGGACUCUUUUAUCACAGCAUCUUGAUUCAGCAUGAGCAAAGAUUCCUGAGUCUCUUCAAGUCCAGAAAUCAGUGGAAAUCAGAAGCUGCUACUCUGCAGAAGAUGCCAUAACACUCCUGCCAGACUCUCCUGUGCCUCACUGAGAUGGAGGAAUAUAGCAGGGCUGUGUGCAUGAAUGUGACCUUCUGAGCU